rnacentral:rRNA from 1 species
GAGCAACGAGCGCAACCCUGAUCCAGCCAUGCCGCGUGUGUGAAGAAGGCCUUCGGGUUGUAAAGCACUUUCAGCGAGGAAGAACGCCAGGGAAUUAAUACCUCCCUGGAAAGACAUCACUCGCAGAAGAAGCACCGGCUAACUCCGUGCCAGCAGCCGCGGUAAUACGGAGGGUGCAAGCGUUAAUCGGAAUUACUGGGCGUAAAGCGCGCGUAGGUGGCUUGAUAAGCCGGUUGUGAAAGCCCCGGGCUCAACCUGGGAACGGCAUCCGGAACUGUCAAGCUAGAGUGCAGGAGAGGAAGGUAGAAUUCCCGGUGUAGCGGUGAAAUGCGUAGAGAUCGGGAGGAAUACCAGUGGCGAAGGCAAUCCCCUGGGCCUGCACUGA